GUCCACGCCGUAAACGAUGUCAACUAGCCGUUGGUCCUAUAUACAGGAUUAGUGGCGCAGCUAACGCAUUAAGUUGACCGCCUGGGGAGUACGGCCGCAAGGUUAAAACUCAAAUGAAUUGACGGGGGCCCGCACAAGCGGUGGAGCAUGUGGUUUAAUUCGAUGCAACGCGAAGAACCUUACCUACCCUUGACAUCCAGAGAAUCUGUUAGAGAUAGUAGAGUGCCUUCGGGAACUCUGAGACAGGUGCUGCAUGGCUGUCGU
rnacentral:rRNA from 1 species